rnacentral:rRNA from 1 species
GCCCCCGCCCCCCUACGGGAGGCAGCAGUGGGGAAUAUUGGACAAUGGGCGCAAGCGUGAUCCAGCCAUACCGCGUGGGUGAAGAAGGCCUUCGGGUUGUAAAGCCCUUUUGUUGGGAAAGAAAUCCAGCUGGUUAAUACCCGGUUGGGAUGACGGUACCCAAAGAAUAAGCACCGGCUAAAUUUGUGCCCGCAGCCGCGGUAAUACGAAGGGUGCCAGCGUUUUUGGAAUUACUGGGGGUAAAGCGUGCGUAGGUGGUCGUUUAAGUCUGUUGUGAAAGCCCUGGGCUCAACCUGGGAAAUGCAGUGGAAACUGGACGACUAGAGUGUGGUAGAGGGUAGCGGAAUUCCUGGUGUAGCAGUGAAAUGCGUAGAGAUCUGGAGGAACAUCCAUGGGGAAGGCAGCUACCUGGGCCAACACUGACACUGAGGCACGAAAGCGUGGGGAGCAAACAGGAUUAGAUACCCUGGUAGUUCACGCCCU